rnacentral:rRNA from 1 species
AUUGAACGCUGGCGGCAUGCUUUACACAUGCAAGUCGGACGGCAACGGGGGUGCUUGCACCUGCCGGCGAGUGGCGAACGGGUGAGUAACAUAUUGGAAUGUACCGAGUAGUGGGGGAUAACCAAUCGAAAGAUUGGCUAAUACCGCAAACCUCCGGAGGGGGAAAGCAGGGGAUCUUCGGACCUUGCGCUAUUUGAGCAGCCAAUAUCUGAUUAGCUAGUUGGUGGGGUAAAGGCCCACCAAGGCGACGAUCAGUAGCGGGUCUGAGAGGAUGAUCCGCCACACUGGGACUGAGACACGGCCCAGACUCCCACGGGAGGCAGCAGUGGGGAAUUUUGGACAAUGGGGGCAACCCUGAUCCAGCCAUGCCGCGUGUCUGAAGAAGGCCUUCGGGUUGUAAAGGACUUUUGUUAGGGAAGAAAAGGGAAGUGCUAAUACCACUUUUUGCUGACGGUACCUAAAGAAUAAGCACCGGCUAACUACGUGCCAGCAGCCGCGGUAAUACGUAGGGUGCGAGCGUUAAUCGGAAUUACUGGGCGUAAAGCGAGCGCAGACGGUUACUUAAGCAGGAUGUGAAAUCCCCGGGCUCAACCUGGGAACUGCGUUCUGAACUGGGUAGCUAGAGUAUGUCAGAGGGGGGUAGAAUUCCACGUGUAGCAGUGAAAUGCGUAGAGAUGUGGAGGAAUACCGAUGGCGAAGGCAGCCCCCUGGGAUAAUACUGACGUUCAUGCUCGAAAGCGUGGGUAGCAAACAGG